UGAUGGUGACCCACUCCAUGUGUUGUGUUGUGUAGGUGUCUAACCCUGAUGGUGACCCACUCCUUGUGUAUGUGUUGUGUAGGUGUCUAACCCUGAUGGUGACCCCUCCAUGUGUUGUGUUGUGUAGGUGUCUAACCCUGAUGGUGACCCCCUCCAUGUGUUGUGUUGUGUAGGUGUUUAACCCUGAUGGUGACCCCCUCCUUGUGUUGUGUUGUGUAGGUGUCUAACCCUGAUGGUGACCCACUCCUUGUGUAUGUGUUGUGUAGGUGUCUAACCCUGAUGGUGACCCACUCCUUGUGUAUGUGUUGUUUAGGUGUCUAACCCUGAUGGUGACCCACUCCUUGUGUAUGUGUUGUUUAGGUGUCUAACCCUGAUGGUGACCCACUCCUUGUGUAUGUGUUGUUUAGGUGUCUAACCCUGAUGGUGACCCACUCCUUGUGUAUGUGUUGUUUAGGUGUCUAACCCUGAUGGUGACCCACUCCUUGUGUAUGUGUUGUUUAGGUGUCUAACCCUGAUGGUGACCCACUCCUUGUGUAUGUGUUGUUUAGGUGUCUAACCCUGAUGGUGACCCACUCCUUGUGUAUGUGUUGUGUAGGUGUCUAACCCUGAUGGUGACCCACUCCUUGUGUAUGUGUUGUUUAGGUGUCUAACCCUGAUGG